GGCUCAGUGUUGGGGUCUCAGAAGGCAACACUCUUGGGGCGUCUGCACCAUGGCCUGGUCUCUGGUCCUCCUCACACUCCUCACUCAGGGCUCAGGUUCCUGGGCCCAGACUCCCCUGACUCAGCCUCCCUCAAUGUCUGGGUCUCCUGGACAGUCUGUCACCAUCUCCUGUGCUGGAAGCAGCAGUGAUGUUGGUGGUUUUAAUGAUUUCUCCUGGUACCAACAACAACCAGGCACAGCCCCCAAACUCCUGAUAUAUUAUACCAACAAUCGGCCCUCAGGCAUCCCUGAUCACUUCUCUGGCUCCAAGUCUGGCAACACGGCCUCCCUGACCAUCUCUGGGCUCCAGGCUGAGGAUGAAGCUGAUUAUUACUGUGCUUCAUAUAGGAGUCCUAACAGUGCUGUGUUCGGCGGAGGGACCCAUCUGACCGUCCUGGGUCAGCCCAAGUCAGCACCCUCGGUCACCCUGUUCCCGCCCUCCACUGACGAGCUCGGCAACAACAAGGCCACACUGGUGUGUCUGGUCAGUGACUUCUACCCAGGAGCCGUGACAGUGGCCUGGAAGGAAAAUGGCAGCCCCGUCUCCCAGGGCGUGGAGACCACCAAGCCCUCCAAGCAGAGCAACAACAAGUAUGCGGCCAGCAGCUACCUGAGCGUGUCAGCCAGCAAGUGGAAAUCUGCCAGCCAGUACAGCUGCCAGGUGACCCACGAAGGCAGCACUGUGGAGAAGACAGUGGUCCCCUCGGAGUGUUCCUAGGACACUGAGACCCCACAUUCUGGGACUCUACUCAGCCAGAUCACCCAUUCCCCACCUCUCCACUGUACCCCUGGGACUCCCACUCCUGUUGCUCAGGCUGGGCUUGUCUCACUGCCUCCCUAUUUCUCCAUUUUCUCAAUAAAACCCUGGUCAUUUAU